GACGAACGCUGGCGGCGUGCUUAACACAUGCAAGUCGAACGGAAAGGCCCUGCUUUUGUGGGGUGCUCGAGUGGCGAACGGGUGAGUAACACGUGAGUAACCUGCCCUUGACUUUGGGAUAACUUCAGGAAACUGGGGCUAAUACCGGAUAGGAGCUCCUGCUGCAUGGUGGGGGUUGGAAAGUUUCGGCGGUUGGGGAUGGACUCGCGGCUUAUCAGCUUGUUGGUGGGGUAGUGGCUUACCAAGGCUUUGACGGGUAGCCGGCCUGGGAGGGUGACCGGCCACAUUGGUACUGAGAGAGGGACCAGACUCGUACGGGAGGCAGAAGUGGGGAGUAUGGCACAAUGGGCGGAAGCCUGAUGAAGAAACGCCGCGUGCGGGAUGACGGCCUUCGGGUUGUAAACCGCUUUCGCCUGUGACGAAGCGUGAGUGACGGUAAUGGGUAAAGAAGCACCGGCUAACUACGUG
rnacentral:rRNA from 1 species